AUGGACUCAGCUUUCUCCGCCCCUCGCAAUCUGGACUCGGCUGUCUCCGUCCCUUUCCGUCUAUACUCGGCCUUCUCCGCCUCUCUCCGUCUGGACUCCGCGCUCUCCGCCUGGACUCGGCUGUCUCCGCCCCUCUCCGUCUGUACUCGGCUCUCCCCGUCUACAUUCGGCUUUCUCCGUCUAUACUGGGCUUUCUCCUUCCGGCUCUGUCUGGACCCGUCUCUCUUCUGCCUUUUCCGUCUAUACUUGGCCCUCUCUGCACCGCUCCAUCUGAACUCGGCAGUCUCCUUCUCUCUCCGUCUAUACUCGGCUCUCUCCGUCUACAUUCGGCUUUUUCCUUCUGGCUCUGGACCGGGCUCUCUCCGCCCUUUUCUGUCUAUACUCGGCUCUCCCCUCCCUGUCCGUCUAUAUUCGGGUCUCUCCGUCUACACUCGGCUCUCUCCGUCUGGACUCAGGUUUCUCUUUCUGGCUCUGUCUGGACCCGGCUGUCUCCGGCCUUUUUUGUCUAUACUCGGCUUUCUCCGUCUACUUUCGGCUCUCUCCGUCUAUACUCGGCGUUCUCUUUCUGGACCUGACUUUCUCCUUGUGGUUCUCUGGACUCGGUUCUCUCCGCCCCUCUCCGUCUCAACCCGGCUCUCUCCGCCCUUUUCCGUCUGGUCCCGGCUUUCUCCGCCUCUUCCCGCCUGUUCUCGGCUCUCUCCGGCUGGACUCGGCUUUCUCCCUCGGGCUCUGCCUGGACCCGGCGCUCUCUGGCCUUUUUUGUCUGUACUCGGCCCUCUCCGCCCCUCUCCGUCUAUACUCGGCUCUCUCCACCCCUCUCCGUCUGAACUCGGCUCUGCCCGCCUCCCUCAGUGUGGGCUCCGCUCCGUCUGCGGUCGGCCUCCUUGCUUGUCUCUGUUAAGCGGGCUUUUUCCGCCUCUGUCAAGCCGGAGCCUGCGGCGCUCUCCCUGGGGCUCUGUGCUCUCCCGCCCCGAGUUCAGGACGAGGAAGGCCUGGCGCACCCCCUCUCGGGACUCCGACCCUCUGGGUCUUCCCCGCCGCGUCUGCGCGCAGCAGCCCCUUCCCCUCAGUCUCCGGAAGAGGCUCUCGGUGACUCCGGUUUGGAGCCGCCUGCUCCGGGUCCCGCGAAGGUUGCACGGGCGCCGCCGAGGGUGUGCCGUCGCGUGUCGGGACUCGGAGCCUGUGUCGGGGUGGCUGCCGUUAUCUCCUGCCGAGGGGCUCGUCUGCCUGCUUCCCUGUCGGGCGCCAGUAACGCGGCGAAGACGCGACCACGUGGCUGGAAGGCAGAGCCGAGUGCUGUGGCCGAAGGAGGAUGGCCGCCCGCAGCAUGCGGCCGCUCCUCCCCAGACCUCUGCAGGCAGCCGGCCCUGCCCGCGCUGGGUUUCUUCCCAGCGACGCUGA
rnacentral:lncRNA from 1 species